rnacentral:rRNA from 1 species
GAAAUGGCGCGUGCAGGUGGACUUAACACAUGCAAGUCGAGCGCCCGCGCAGGGGAGCAGUAGACGGUGUGAUUAACGCGUGGGAAUCUACCCAUCUCUACGGAAUAGCUCAGGGAAACUUGUGCUAAUACCGUAUACGCCCUUCGGGGGAAAGAUUUAUCGGAGAUGGAUGAGCCCGCGUUGGAUUAGCUAGUUGGUGGGGUAAAGGCCUACCAAGGCGACGAUCCAUAGCUGGUCUGAGAGGAUGAUCAGCCACAUUGGGACUGAGACACGGCCCAAACUCCUACGGGAGGCAGCAGUGGGGAAUAUUGGACAAUGGGCGCAAGCCUGAUCCAGCCAUGCCGCGUGAGUGAUGAAGGCCCUAGGGUUGUAAAGCUCUUUCACCGGUGAAGAUAAUGAC